AGGGUUUCUCUGUGUGGCCCUGGCUGUUCUGGAACUCUGUAGACCAGGCUGUCCUCGAACUCAGAUCUACCUGCCUCUGCCCCCAACACCACCCAGCUACCAUCUCUUCUCAGUGGUAUCAGUGGGAUGCAGUUGAAUGGCCCUCCUGUUUCAACCCUGCCACAUGGGACUAAGUGUCUGAGUGACAUUGUCCAGGUAGGGGUGAAGAUACAGCGGGAGAGACCCUGUACCACUGGAUUCCUGGGAACACACUGUCGUGGUUGAUGGGUCCUGAUUCAGAUGGUGGUCCCUAGGAGACUGUGGAGGUGCCUGGAAGCCAAUGUUCUGCUAGCAGCCUUCAGAUGAAGAUGUAGAACUCUCAGCUCCUCCUGCACCAUGCCUGCCUGGAUGCUGCCAUAUUUCCACCUUGAUGAU